ACUCUGUCCUCUCCUCUUGCUGGACCACGGAUAAAUCUUUCAGACGCAUCAGCGCAAGUUGAAACAGAGAGACCACCAUCCAGAUCAUCCACACCUCCUGCACUGACAGCUGACGGCCUCCUUCACUCAGGAAUGAUGUGUCUUACAGGGGGUCAGGACCGUUCAGGCCGAGUAGUUGUGGAGAUUUAUGGAGACCAUCAGGUCUGGGUUUCUGCACCCAUUUCAAGCCAGGAGAUCUGCAAACUACUGCUGUACUUUCACACCAUCACCAGGAAAGAAAAAGAUCUAGGGAUGACGGUGGUGUUUGAUGCACGGAAGAAGCCGCC
rnacentral:lncRNA from 1 species